rnacentral:rRNA from 1 species
UUAAUUUAUAUUAAAAAUAAUUAUAAAAUUUAAAUUUUUUAGUAUUUUAUAUUGAAAUAAUAUUUUAUUAUAAUAGUUUAUGAGUAUUGUAUAAGAAUAUUGAAAUAAUUUGAAAAAUUAUUAUUUUUAAAGAAGAUUUUAUUUAUUGUACCUUGUGUGUCAGGGGUUAUUAAAUAAUUAAAUAAUUAUUUUAUUUUUCUCGAUUUCAAAAGAUUUAAUAAAUUAUUUUAUUUAUUGUAGUAUAAAUAUUAAUAAUAGUUUAUUGGAAAUGAAACGUUAAUCGUUUUUGAAGGUAUCUAGUUUUUUUAGAAAUAAAUUUAAUUUAGUUAUUAAUUAUUGAAUUAUAUUAUUUAUUUAAUAUAAUUUUAUUUAAUAAUAAUAUAUUAUGGGAUAAGCUAUAAUAUAAAAUUUUAAAAAUUAUUAAUAUAAUUAAAAUAUAUAUGCUUAGAAUUAGCAAUUAUUAAUAAAUUUGUUAUAAUUUAUUUAUUUGUUUAUAUUAUUUAUUUAUAUUUUAAUUUUUUAUAAAAAUAUUUAUUUUAAUUUUAAAAAUAAAGUAAUAAUGAUAGUAUUAGUAUAUGAUUUAUGUUUAAAUAAUUAUUUAUGUAAGGUUUAUUUAAUUAAUUCGGCAAAUAUAAUAUUCGCCUGUUUAUCAAAAACAUGUCUUUUAGAGUUUAAUUUAAAGUCUGACCUGCCCACUGAUUUUUUAAAGGGCCGCAGUAUUUUAACUGUGCAAAGGUAGCAUAAUCAUUAGUCUUUUAAUUGAAGGCUUGUAUGAAUGGUUGGACGAGAUAUUUACUGUUUCAAAUAAAUUAUAAAUAGAAUUUUAUUUUUUAGUUAAAAAGCUAAAAUAUAAUUAAAAGACGAGAAGACCCUAUAGAUCUUUAUAGAAGUUUUUUUAUAAAUUAUUUAGAAAUGUUUGAUUUUUAUAAAUAAUCUAUUUUAUUGGGGUGAUAAUAAGAUUUAAAUAACUCUUAUAUUAUUUUUACAUUAAUAAAUGAAUAAUUGAUCCAUUUAUGAUGAUUAUUAAAUUAAGUUACCUUAGGGAUAACAGCGUAAUAUUUUUUGAGAGUUCAUAUCGAUAAAAAUGAUUGCGACCUCGAUGUUGGAUUAAGAGAUAGGUUUGGGUGUAGAAGUUCAAAUUUUAAGUCUGUUCGACUUUUAAAUUCUUACAUGAUCUGAGUUCAAACCGGUGUAAGCCAGGUUGGUUUCUAUCUUUAAUAAAAUUAUUUAUUUUAGUACGAAAGGACCAAAUAAAUGAAAUAUUAAUUUUUAUAAUUAGAAUAUU